GGCGGUGGCUACCCAUACCUCUACGGUUGUGACGUAGGCGACGUCGAUCACGAGUGUCUUGAUCAUCCCGUUCAGUAUCAGUAGUGUAAUCAUCAUCAUACUUGUUGUCCACUCGUUCUUCCUCCUUGUUUCCUUCCUUAUGCUUCUCUUUAUCCAUUGUGUGGAAAUCAUCAAAACGCUUGAGAAGCGCAACAAGACUUUUAUCCACAUUAGCAACAGCUGCCUCCACCUUUGUAAGCUUAUCAUUAGUGGCAAUCUGUGUGGCCUCCAACUGCCCUAACUUUUCAUUCAUCACCUGCAAGUCGUUAUCAAGCCCCUCUGUGUGUAGCUUCACUUGCCUUUCAAAAUGUUGUAUGAUGCCCUUAGUGCGAGGUGACUACAGAAUCUUGUUUCUUCCUCUGUUUCUAACAUGGUUUUUUUAAAAACAGUGGAAACAAGAAAAUAUGUGAAGAAAUAGAAGCCCUACAGCUAUUAGGAUGUAGCUACAAUAAGGCGCUCACUCUCAACCUGUUAGACAAAUUCUUACCAAUUCUUACCUUGCUCAACUUAAGGUGUCCCGACAAGUGUGCAGCAAUGGAACGAAGUGUAUCAGUGCCGCAACAACAAGACCUGUCAAGCUAUAGAAUACGUGGAGCUAUAGGUGGGCUAAAAACAAGGAACAACUAGCACCAUGUUAAUUACAAAAGAAAGUUGAGAAAUCAUUCGACGGUGGUACCGUGCUGGUCCUAGGCUAGACUGUGCUAGAGACGUGAGCCUAGACACAAACGGAGUCACUGUACAGUUGGAAACAGCACAAGAAUAGCAACAACAACCUAUUACUCCCCUUUUCUUUUUGUUUUCUCUUCUUUUCUUUCUUUUCCUUUUCUUUUUCUUUUUGUUCUCUUUUUUUCUUUUCUCUUCUUUCUUCUCUUUCUUCUUCUUUUCCUUUACUUUGCAAAACUAGGACAAAUCUCAAUCUCGACAAAUCAGAUUUCAAAUAGAAACAACUUAUUUUUGUUUCUUUUCAGCAAAUAAUGGUGGAUAUGGUGUAACAAAGAAAAAAUAUGGCAGUAAAGAUUGCAAUUGAGAUAAAUAUGGUAUAGUGGAUAUGUAAUAUAUGGUGGUGGUGAUGACAGCGAGAUGAAAAUGAUGGAUAGGACCAAAACAUGACAAGAACUCGAAACUCUAAAAGCCUAACCCUAAGACCAACAACUUGACUCAACCGAAGUAAAUCAAAUACAUCAAGCCCUAACUAAGUAGUACUAGCCAAGGCUCAAAGUGUUUAUAGGACUAUGGGAAAACUAAUCUACUACUAUUUUUAGCUUUUUAUUGGAACGAUGGG
rnacentral:lncRNA from 1 species